GAAGGCGGCUUUCUGGACAGUACUGACGCUGAGAUGCGAAAGCGUGAGGAGCAAACAGGAUUAGAUACCCUGGUAGUCACGCUGUAAACGAUGUCGAUUUGGAGUUUGUUGCCUAGAGUGAUGGGCUCCGAAGCUAACGCGAUAAAUCGACCGCCUGGGGAGUACGGCCGCAAGGUUAAAACUCAAAUGAAUUGACGGGGGCCCGCACAAGCGGUGGAGCAUGUGGUUUAAUUCGAUGCAACGCGAAGAACCUUACCUGGUCUUGACAUCCACAGAAUUCUGCAGAGAUGUGGGAGUGCCUUCGGGAACUAUGAGACAGGUGCUGCAUGGCUGUCGUCAGCUCGUGUUGUGAAAUGUUGGGUUAAGUCCCGCAACGAGCGCAACCCUUAUUCUUUGUUGCCAGCGAUUUGGUCGGGAACUCAAAGGAGACUGCCGUUGAUAAAGCGGAGGAAGGUGGGGACGACGUCAAGUCAUCAUGGCCCUUACGACCAGGGCUACACACGUGCUACAAUGGCGUAUACAAAGGGAAGCGAAGGUGCGAGCUGGAGCGGAUCUCAUAAAGUACGUCUAAGUUCGGAUUGGAGUCUGCAACUCGACUCCAUGAAGUCGGAAUCGCUAGUAAUCGUAGAUCAGAAUGCUACGGUGAAUACGUUCCCGGGCCUUGUACACACCGCCCGUCACACCAUGGGAGUGGGUUGCACCAGAAGUAGAUAGCUUAACCGCGAGGGGGGCGUUUACCACGGUGUGAUUCAUGACUGGGGUGAAGUCGUAACAAGGUAACCA
rnacentral:rRNA from 1 species